rnacentral:rRNA from 1 species
AGCUCCAAUAGCGUAUAUUAAAGUUGUUGCGGUUAAAAAGCUCGUAGUUGGAUCUCUGGUCUUGCCGGCCGGUCGCCCACUGGGUUGUACUGGUUGGCGGACCCGAAUUGCUAGUGUUUCUGUGCGUGCUCUUCACUGGGUGCGUACAGUGGCUAGCGCGUUUACUUUGAAAAAAUUAGAGUGCUCAAAGCAGGCUACUCGCCUGAAUAGUGGUGCAUGGAAUAAUGGAAUAGGACGUCUUGUUCUAUUUGUUGGUUCGGAACCGGACGUAAUGAUUAAGAGGGACAGACGGGGGCAUUCGUAUUGCUACGUUAGAGGUGAAAUUCUUGGAUCGUAGCACGACGAACAACUGCGAAAGCAUUUGCCAAGAAUGUUUUCA